rnacentral:rRNA from 1 species
GACGAACGCUGGCGGCGUGCUUAACACAUGCAAGUCGAGCGGAAAGGCCACUUCGGUGGUACUCGAGCGGCGAACGGGUGAGUAACACGUGAGUAAUCUGCCCCUGGCUUUGGGAUAACCACCGGAAACGGGGAUUAAUACCGGAUACGACCACUUCUCGCAUGGGAUGGUGGUGGAAAGUUUUUUCGGCCAGGGAUGGGCCUGCGGCCUAUCAGCUUGAUGGUGAGGUAAUGGCUCACCAUGGCUUCGACGGGUAGCCGGCCGGAGAGGGUGACCGGUCACACUGGGACUGAGACACGGCCCAGAGUCCUACGGGAGGCAGCAGUGGGGAAUAUUGGACAAUGGGCGGAAGCCUGAUCCAGCAACGCCGCGUGAGGGAUGACGGCCUUCGGGUUGUAAACCUCUUUCAGCAGGGACGAAGCGCAAGUGACGGUACCUGCAGAAGAAGCACCGGCCAACUACGUGCCAGCAGCCGCCGUAA